CUGGCCCCGCCCCCACCGGCUGCCCACGCCGCGCAGGCGCCGCCCGGGGCCUGUUUCCCCGCAUCUCGGGUUCACCCGCAGCCCCCUCCGUGCACACCUGGCGCCCUUGCACCUGGCGUGGUCGCUGCUCGCCCGGCCAAAGCUGGCGUCCCCGGCCGGCUUGCAGCGCGCUCAGGAGCCCGACUGCGGCUGCUCCCCGCGGAGGUUUUCCUCGUUUCCUUCUCAGAGCGAGAGCUCUAGCAGAGGAGCUGACCCUGGUGGGAUCGUCAGGUAAAGGAGAUGGAAACCCUAGGCCUGAGUCGGGCCAAAAGGAAAGAGAGUGCGUAUCAUUUUUUCCUGUACAUUUAGGAACAGGGAACAGGAGGGUGUUCUCAAAAGCCUGCUGCCCAGCAGCCUCUAGUUUCUGGUCAGCUUGCCCACAGCCUGAGGCUGCCCUCUGGUGGGCAAGUUUGGGAACACACUGAGAAUUCAUCCCAUCAUUUCUUCCCUAUGUUCCAGGUUAUAUCUCCUGAUUUAAAAAGUUUAAAGAAGGUUGGAAUCUUUUAAGGAAUAUGUUGUCAAUGAGAAGAGUUUUAAACAUCCAGAAUAAACUUUAAAAUCUCUGGUUUGCUUUCAAGGUAGGCUUAGGAGUAGCUUAACUGCUACUCACUUUGUGAUAAUACUGAAUGAAUAUUUGCUGUAUAUAAAGCUGGUACUAUGCAAGGAUCAUUUGCAUAGUACCAGCUUUAUAAAUAAAAGAGUAAAACCAACCCAUAAGAUUUGGGGGGUGGGGGCAGUAGCUACUGCCAUUGACCGAAUCCUGUGCGCCAGAGGUACCUUUUCUACAUGGGACAUAUGCUAGUGCAAAUUUCUGGGUCACUUUCCACAUCUCUGGGCUUUAUUUUAGAGCAUGGCAGUAUCACUAAGUUCUAUAGGGGCAGGGUCCAGGCUUGCACGCUCGGACCUUGUGCACACUCGAAGAGUUAGAAAAUAGUGAUCCUUUAAAAACACAGAACCAACAUUGACGUCUACCUUCCAAAUCAAAAUCAUUCGGUUCAAACAGACUGUCGUUUAAGAAAAUACACAAAACCCAUGUUUCUGAAAUAAUGCUGAUUCCUGAGUAAGAAGGGGGACUUGCAUUUGAUUCCCAGUCUAACUGCUUAGUAGAAUAAAUCCUGCACCAGCAACACUUGUAAAUUUGUGAAAAUGAAUUUUAUCUUUCCUUAAAAAAUAAAUUUUUUAAUCCAUCACACUUUCCUUCCCACCCUUUAGUUUUUGAUAAUGAUAAAAAUGAGCCAGUUAUCAAAGAAGAAAUAGUUCUUACUUCAAAAGAAACAUAAAUACAAAAAAUAAGUUGCUGGUUCCUAACAGGAAAAAUACAUUUUAAUAAUUGUGCGAUGAGAAGCUGCUUACGUACACAUUGCAGAUCAGAUAUUUGGAGUUGUUAGUCCACAUAGACGGGUGAUUGUAAACUUUAUUGCCAUUAAAAGAUUUCAAAUUGCAUUCAUGCUUCUGUGUACAUGUAAUGAAAAAUGGGCAAAAUAAUGAAGAUUGAUUUUUCCCUAAGUCGCUCUGUUUAAUUCUGCUGUCUACUCUUCUAUAAUGCUGCGUCUCUAAUUGUACACAGUUUAGUGAUCUCUAGGAGUACAGAAGUUGUCGCCCAUCAAUAAAAAUCACAAAGUUGGUUUAAAAAUAAAAUAAAAUAAAAACACAGAACCAAUGUAAGUGUGGAAGAGAGUGGAUGCUUACAAAACAGACUUUGUCUUCUUCCUGGGCACAGAAAUGAGAAUACUUUACCUGCCACCUUUUCUGUUUCCUUUGUAGUUAGCAUCCCCCAUGUGGAAAGGGAAGCAUGGUGCCCCUCUAAAGCAUUGAGAGGAAAGAGUCAAAUUAGUUCAAAGAGAAAACCCACGGAUUCCAAGAUCAUAAAAGUUAUUCUAGUUUCUUCUCACUUAAUCUGCAUGGAACAUGGCUUACAUAAAUUUCAGGUGAAAGCAGCACACUGCCCUAAAGAUAAAAUUGGCCCUUCUUAGUUGAGAGGGGAUGCCGUGGCGUGAAUUCAGAACAUCCUCCAGAACUCUCCCAGACAAAACAAACAGUGACUUCCAAAGCUUGUCUAGCUCUAAGCAUUUCACAGUUCUUUGAGAAGCUAGAAAUGUCUUAUGAUCACCCUAAAAGUGGAAAAUAAGAGCAGGAAGGAUGGAUGAUCUUUAGCAUAUUUUAUAACAUGAUCAUUAAUGCUCAAUUAAAACGAUGUGGUACUAGUGCUUGGCCAGGCAAACUGAUUCAGAAUAGAAAAUCCAGAAAUAGACAACAUGGGAAUUUUGUAUACCAUAAAGACAGCAUUUUUUUUUUUUUUAAAUAGGCUCCAUGCCCAGUGCAGAGCUCAAGGUGGGGCCCAAACCCAGGACCCUGAGAUAAAGACCUGAGCUGAAAUCAAGAGUUGGAUGCUCAACCGAGUGAGCCACUCAGGUGCCCCAAAGACAGCAUUUCUAACCAUUGGGAGUAAAGAUGGACUUCAUUAGUAUUGAGACAAUGGGAUAGUCAUUUGUAAAACAGCAUAUACUAGGAUAAACUCCAAAUAGAUUAAAGAUUGAUAUGUUAAGCCAAACAAAUCCAGGAGAAAAUACAGGUGAAUUCCUUUGAUUCUUGUCAUGGGAAAGACCCAUCUUAAUAUUGCCCAAAAUCCAAAAGCCAUGAAAGAAAAUACUGACACACACAUUCAGUUACAUAAAGAUAAGCCCAGGUAGCAAAACUUAUCAUCUUACAACUCUUGU
rnacentral:lncRNA from 1 species